rnacentral:rRNA from 1 species
AUGCCUGGACUCUUGCAUUUGGCGUUGCUCUGUUUCAGGUUAGGCGUCGUCGGCAGGCUGGGAACGCCUGGUUCCGUCCCUGUGGUUUCCUGCGAUGCCAUUCAUGCACGUUCUAGGGUGAGCAUGUCCACCGCUCACCGGUCCGGCGCCUCGAGCCAGGCGAGGAGGCAGGGGCCUUCUGUGACGAUGGAUCUGGAUGGAUGUGUCUCCUUCAAGCCCAGGCGUUCGGCUAUGGCGUGCUUUGUUCCGUCGUCGGUGCUCUUUCCUGAGACGUUUAUCGUUUUUGCCUUGGUUCUCGGCGUGUUUGGGGUUCAUGGCAUCUCUAGCUAUGCUUGCUAG